UACGAAGGGGGCUAGCGUUGCUCGGAAUUACUGGGCGUAAAGCGCACGUAGGCGGCUUUCUAAGUCGGGGGUGAAAUCCUGGAGCUCAACUCCAGAACUGCCUUCGAUACUGGAGAGCUCGAGUCCGGGAGAGGUGAGUGGAACUGCGAGUGUAGAGGUGAAAUGCGCAGAUAUCAGGAAGAACACCAAUGGCGAAGGCAGCUCUCUGGGACGGUACUGACACUGAGACGCGAAAGCGCGGGGAGCGAACAGG
rnacentral:rRNA from 1 species